GUUUGGAGGGAACAGAUUUCUUGCGCAUUUUGAUUUGAGCAAGUAGUGAAGAACACAUCCACCGUCCAGGGGUUUCGAUAUGGCGGGAAAAUGUCCCUAUAGUCCUCGCGACAUGAAAACCCUAACCCUUCUAUCUCAGCCAGCAUAAUCUCUCUCUCUUCCUCUUUCUCUCUGAAACGCUCUCCUCUAGUUCAGUCUCAUCGACCUGUGAUUACCCUAGAAAAUGUCUCAUCCACGGCAUCAGUGAAUCUCAGAUACGGAGCUACACAAUUGGUUACCAACGAGUUGCAGAUUCUGCCUAAGUUAUAUAUAGUUUGGGGGCAAAAUGUCUGAUGCGUUUGACGAUGAAGCCGAGCAAACCGUUUCGAUCCAGGAGUACCUCAAAGGCGUCGAGGAACAGGAGCUGGAAGCAGACCUGGUUUUGGGAGGAGAUGAGGGCAAGGAAUGCACUUAUAUUAAUGGUUAUAUGAAGAGGCAGGCAAUUUUUUCAUGUCUAACUUGUACCCCAGAUGGAAAUGCCGGAGUUUGCACGGCCUGCUCCUUGUCUUGCCAUGAUGGCCAUGAGAUUGUGGAGCUCUGGACCAAGAGAAACUUUAGGUGUGACUGUGGAAAUGCAAAAUUUGGGGAGUUCUUCUGCAAACUUUUCCCAAAUAAAGAUAUUGAGAAUGCUGAGAACUUGUAUAAUCAUAACUUCAGAGGUUCAUACUGCACAUGCAGUAGGCCCUAUCCUGAUCCUGAUGUUGAAGAGCAAGAAGAGAUGAUACAGUGCUGUAUAUGUGAGGACUGGUUUCACGAGGAGCAUCUCGGUCUUGAAUCUUCUGAUGAGGUUCCAAGAGAUGAGGAAGGUGAACCUCUUUACGAGGAUUUCAUAUGUAGGGCCUGCUCAACCGGCUUUUCAUUUCUGGGGUCAUAUCCUCUGUCCAUCUGGGCAGCGGGCAGACAAUGUGAUGCCACUGUGGAUACUAAUAAGGAUAAGAAUGUGUUGGAAGAUACAUCCUCAGCUGGUGGAUCUGGAAAAGUAAAGAAUGAUGUUGAUGCUCAUAAUAAUCCUGAAAUUGAUCAUACUAAAUCGAAUUCUGAGUUAGCAUGUGAUGGGGAUGGUACGUCUCUUGGAGAAAAUUCUCAGAACAAUGUGGGUUCAGAUCAAUGUGUAAGAACUAGCAGUCCUUUGACUACCUGCGUUCUUGGAGUAAAGCCGGAGAACACAUCUCCUGCUUUGGAGAAUAAACCACUGUUUCUUUCCAAAAACUGGCGUGAUGUCCUCUGCAGAUGUGAAAAAUGCUUGGUUAUUUACAACGAGAAGCGUAUUGCUUUUCUGCUUGACAAGGAGGACUCAAUUGCAGAGUAUGAGAAAAUGGCAACGCAGAAGAGGACAGAAAAGCUACAGGAACGGGAGGGUGCUGAGCUAAGUUUAUUCAACAAUCUUGGUCAUAUAGAAAAAAUGGAGAUUCUAAAUGGCAUAGCUGAUAUGAAGAAUGAGAUCCAUGGUUUCCUGGGGCAAUUACCAUGUUAUUAACCGAUCGAAGCCAUAGAACAACCUUUUUUGAAGCAGGAUGGGGCAAGGGGAAGGAAUCCUUCGACUCAACAAAGCCAAUCACAGCUGCUGAUGUCCACCAGGUGUUUGAGAAUCUAGCAAAGAAGCGCCGCCGCCUAGACUGAGUUUUUGUUGUCGAGUAAUUGCUACGGUUGAAUGCAUGUGUAACCGUGGACUUCCUCGUUGACAGCGGAGACAUCCGUGUUCAAAAACAAUCACAAAACGUGCAUGACAUGGUUUUAGGCUGCUCUUUUAAGUUAGUAUAAACUUACCAAAAUCAACUGCUUUGCCUUGUAAAUUUAUUUGCUUAUGCACUUCGAAACUUAACUGGGACGUUUAUUAUAAACUGCCGGCACUACUUUAGAACUUGCUUA